UAAAUGACUCUCGGCAACGGAUAUCUCGGCUCUCGCAACGAUGAAGAACGUAGCGAAAUGCGAUACUUGGUGUGAAUUGCAGAAUCCCGUGAACCAUCGAGUCUUUGAACGCAAGUUGCGCCCGAAGCCUCCUGGUUGAGGGCACGCCUGCCUGGGCAUCACACAU
rnacentral:rRNA from 1 species